rnacentral:rRNA from 1 species
GAACGAUGCUUUCGGGCAUAGUGGCGCACGGGUGCGUAACGCGUGGGAAUCUGCCCUUUGGUCUGGGAUAACUGUUGGAAACGACAGCUAAUACCGGAUGAUGACGUAAGUCCAAAGAUUUAUCGCCAGAGGAUGAGCCCGCGUCGGAUUAGCUAGUUGGUGGGGUAAAGGCCUACCAAGGCGACGAUCCGUAGCUGGUCUGAGAGGAUGAUCAGCCACACUGGGACUGAGACACGGCCCAG